rnacentral:rRNA from 1 species
UACGUAGGGUGCGAGCGUUAAUCGGAAUUACUGGGCGUAAAGCGUGCGUAGGCGGUUCGUUAAGUCAGCUGUGAAAGCCCCGGGCUCAACCUGGGAACUGCGGUUGAAACUGGCGAACUAGAAUCUGGCAGAGGGGGGUGGAAUUCCACGUGUAGCAGUGAAAUGCGUAGAGAUGUGGAGGAACACCGAUGGCGAAGGCAGCCCCCUGGGUUAACACUGACGCUCAUGCACGAAAGCGUGGGGAGCAAACAGG